rnacentral:tRNA from 1 species
GGGCGUGUACCCAAGUGGCCAACGGGGGCAGACUGUAAAUCUGCUGGCAAUUGCCUACGUAGGUUCGAAUCCUACCGCGCCCA